UUUCAACAAAAGAACGAAAAUAUAAAAAAUAAACAAGAUAUAGUAAAUGAUGAUAUAUCAACAAAAAAUGAACAACAUAUGCUUAACAGUUUUUUUGACAAAUACAAAGAACAUGAACGAUUAAUAAAAAAAGAAAAAUAUACAACUAUGAUAGAAAAUAAAUGCAAAGGUAUGAACGAAUUUGAAGAUAAUGUUUGUGACGGUAGUAUGGGAAACGAAAUGGGAAAAAAAAAUAAUCUAUUAAGUUCAAACCUCCUACCCCAUUUUGAAAAUAUCGACAAAACAAUAGAUGAUCCUUCAAUAAUUAAAAAUUUUAAUUUUAAUAUGAUCUGUUCAGGUGGAAUUUCUUCAAAAAAUACAGAAAUAAAAAAUGAUAUACUUAAAAACAUAUCUGCAUUAAUGUCAAAUAAUUUUGGUAUUACUGAAAUUGAAAAUAGUUGUGUUUGUUUGUUAAUAGGUUUAUUAACUAAAUACAAAAAAGAAAUCAAUAUAUUAUGUGUACCUGAACUACUUCAAAAUAUAAAUAAAAUUUUUGUAUAUAAAAUAAUUGGUACUAAUAUGAAUGUAGAAAGAAAUGUUCAAAAAGAAGAUACUCCAAAAAUAAAUAAUGAAUAUGCUGAAGAUAAGUACGAUAGUGAUUUUUUAAAUUAUAUCGAUGUAAAUUAUAUUUACAAUUUAAUUAAUUUAAUAAAAUGUAUUAUUAUAUAUAAUUAUGAUAAAACGCUAUUAGAUACAUUGGAUGUUUUACCAUUUCUAUUUUUCUAUAGAUCAUUGGCUUUACUCAAUCAACAACAACAACAACAACAACAACAACAACAACAAAAACAACAACAACAACAACAACAANNNNNNNNNNAACAACAACAACAACAACAACAAAAACAACAACAACAACAACAACAACAACAACAACAACAACAACAACUGAAUGAAAAAUAUCUAUUUUUAGCAACCGAAUCUAUUAAAGUAUUUAGGCUACUUCUAUUUUUCAAUUUAUAUAUUGAACCAGUUGAUUAUUUUCAUGAUAUUAUCAUUAAAAUAUGUGAGUUGGAUGUAAAAGAUUGUUUUGUAUAUACUAAUUUUUUAAGUCAGGUAUACUUAUAUUUAGCUAGCUACAAUAUUAUAUGUACAAGUGUUGACUACUCUGGUCUCUUGUACACGAAAAAAGCAAUUAAAGUGUUAAACAUGUGUGUACAUAAUAUAUGGGGGCUCAAUAAAGGCCCUAUUAAACCAAAUAAAAUAAAUCAAAACCUCACUAAGUUUGACCAUAAACUCGGACCAGAUCAAAUCAAUAAUUCACCCGAAAAGAGAUCAUCCAUUUUUGAUCAAAACAACAAUUUUACCUUGCCUGUUCAGGUAAAACUAAACUACAACUAUUUAUGUGACUUAAUAUUACUACAUCAAUGUUUUACUUAUAUAUAUACCGUUUUUUUAGCAGUUAAAAAAAAAUAUAUAAAACUAGAACAAUGUUUAAAUUAUGAACAAAUAUACCAAAUAAUACAAAUUAUAAAACAAGGAAUAUAUAUUAUUACCAACGAAUUUAAUGAACUGUUAAAACUGUACAAGUACAACAAUCAAACAGAUAUUACUCUACUUAAUAAAAUAAUAAAUCAGUUAAAAAAUUGCCCCAACCCAUUUAGUUACAUUAUUCACAAAAAAAAUAGUAAUAUAGACAAUCAUUUAUUUUUUAUCAUAUAUAUACAAUUAUUAAAUGUAUUUUUAAAAAUUAUUAACGUAUUGAAAUUUAUUAACGUUCAGGUAGAAUAUGAUAAAAAUUGUGAAUAUGAACAAAAUUGCGAAUUUAUUAAAAACAUGUUCAUAAGUUUUGAUAAAAAUUGUUUAAUACAUUUUAAACAAAACAUUUUUGAAACUGAAAAGGUACUCGAUUCUUAUAACAUUUUUUUGCCACUCGCAUAUUGGUUUUAUAAUAUGUAUCAGUUAGUUAUUAACGAAAAAAAAUAUUGCAACGAUAUGGCUAGCUCAAACAUAAGUCUUAUGUUUUAUGCGCUUAAUUACUGUUCUUAUGUCCCUCUAUGCUACUUUUGUCUUGAUCAAAUUUUUAACCAACAAAUAAAAGACACAGUUCCCAAAACAAUAGAAAAAAAAAAACCUCACACGAGCAACGAAUGUGUUACAAAUGAACAGUUAUGUUUUGAAAUGGAAAUAAUUAACAAUAGCAGUUUAUGUGAAGGGGGGAAUAUAAAUAAUGAAAUGGAUCAAAAGGAUGAGGGAUAUAAUAUAAAAAGUGAACCCAACAAACAAGACGGAUGUAUACAAAACAACUGCAAUAAUAUUCAAAACAAAACAUACAGUGUUAUACUAUUUUUACAGAAAUAUAUAAAAAACAACUUUUUAACCCUUAACAGUAAAAAAAAUAUUUUUUUUUUAUUGUUAAAAAAUAUAUUUAAAGAAUGUAAUCAACCUAUUAAUAAUAUAAAAAAGGAACAAACAAAAAUAAUUAAUAAUAUAUUAUAUUUAUUUUUAAAUAAACAUAUGAUUAAUUUUUUGAAUAAUCAUAUGAACGUGUCAACUUUUUUUAAAUUUUUUAUUCAAAUAUUUAUUGUAAAUAAAUAUAAGUCCAUUGGAGAUUAUUUGAGUGAACAAAUCAUUAUAUACAAACAGCUACAACAAAUAAGUUAUGUAUACAUAUUUGAACAAAUAAAUAAAGAAAUGUUUAUUCAGGACACUUUUAUACAUUCGAUUGGUAAUCAUGGAGAACAAUCGCUUGAACAAAAAAUAAAAAUAAACGAUUUACUACAAAAGAUAAAUAAAUUUUAUCAAACCGAAGUAGUAACACAAAAUUCGAAGAGAGAUAAAGUGAAAAUAGUACAUAAUGACUACAAACCAACAGUUGAUCAUAUAAUAAAAACAGUUUUUGAAAAAAAUAAAAGAAAUAUAAAUACAUAUAAUACAAAACAAAAAAUAAUAAAUAUUAAUGAAACUUUAUCUUUAUUAAUAUGCGAAAAAAUCAUAGAAUCGUUUAAUUCAGGUUGUUUUUUUAAUCCAUUAGUUAUAAUCAUAUUAUUAUUUUUUUGCUCUACAUGUUUUUCACAAGCAUGUCGCAAAAUUAUAUUAACAAAUCAUAAUUUAAUUAAAAAUUUAUCAAAAAACGUUUUUAUAUAUUUUUAUAAUAAUCAACAGUAUGUAAUUUUUACAUCAUCUACAAUUUAUGGAUCUAAAGAAAAUAAUUAUAUGAUCGACUUAACACACAUACUUCCACCUAUUUCCUCAUAUUUAAUGGACAAAACUACCGAUGAAUAUUUUACCAAUGAAAACUUAGCUAGCUAUUUUAGGACCAUACAAACACAUUAUACUUAUCCCAGCUUAUUUUAUUUUAUUUUUUUUGUUAAAACAUCAUUAUCCUAAUAUGGGUCAUCAUGUGUGCACACAUAUAUAUAUAUAUAUAUAUAUAUAUUAUGGCUGUAUGAACAUGUAACAGAAAAAAUAAUAAACAAGAGCAAAUAUCUAUACCUACCUACCUG
ensembl:lncRNA